GAUAAACGCUGGCGGCGUGCCUAAUACAUGCAAGUCGAGCGAAUGGAUUAAGAGCUUGCUCUUAUGAAGUUAGCGGCGGACGGGUGAGUAACACGUGGGUAACCUGCCCAUAAGACUGGGAUAACUCCGGGAAACCGGGGCUAAUACCGGAUAACAUUUUGAACCGCAUGGUUCGAAAUUGAAAGGCGGCUUCGGCUGUCACUUAUGGAUGGACCCGCGUCGCAUUAGCUAGUUGGUGAGGUAACGGCUCACCAAGGCAACGAUGCGUAGCCGACCUGAGACGGUGAUCGGCCACACUGGGACUGCGACACGGCCCAGACUCCUACGGGAGGCAGCAGUAGGGAAUCUUCCGCAAUGGACGAAAGUCUGACGGAGCAACGCCGCGUGAGUGAUGAAGGCUUUCGGGUCGUAAAACUCUGUUGUUAGGGAAGAACAAGUGCUAGUUGAAUAAGCUGGCACCUUGACGGUACCUAACCAGAAAGCCACGGCUAACUACGUGCCAGCAGCCGCCGCAG
rnacentral:rRNA from 1 species